ensembl:lncRNA
CGACAUCUUCUCAACAGAUCUGAUUUUCUUCAAAUAAUUAUUAAGUGAAAGGUCACAGGUUCACCAGUUCCAUUAGGACUCUUUGUCUAGGAAAAAAGAACGAACCAUCAUCACCAGGUUGCAGCACUACAGAGAACACAAACAACACCUGAUAAGCAGUAGAGUUAGGGCUGGUUGAACCAGCAGGACAGUAGUAGCCGGCCUCGCAAGGUCCUGUUGGCUGCGACAGACCGGGUUGAGAGCAGAACUUUCCUGGAGGAAACACCAGCAGCAUAAAGACAGGGCAGGCAGGCGUCGGGAUCGGAGGCUCCGAGUCGGUUCUGCACAGUGCCAGGAGGGCAGGGGAACUCUCGUCCUAGAGACAUCCCCGGAGGACAGUAGUAUCCAGCGGGACAUAAGGAAGGCUGUAUAGUACCUUUAACUGAGCCACAACAAGAAUAAACACAUAUCAUAUUGAAAGCGAACAAUUAAAUGAGAAACCAUUGGGCCCAGUGCCGUAAAAUGAAUUACAAUCAAUAAAUGUAAGUUAUUGAAAAUUGAAUGUGAAGAAAAAGUCUCUCUUAGAAAUUGUUUCCUACCUUGACAGUAGUACCCAGGUGUGCAUGUAGUGCAAUUGUCUUGAUGUAUGUUUCCUGUUUCAGAGCUAAAUGUUCCUGCAGAACAAGGGAUUGGGACCAGUGUCCCUCUGGGGCAAAAGAAACCAGCAGGGCACAGAGCCGUAUCUGCUCUGCUGGAGCCCCAGUCGCAAUAAAACCCUGCCCAGCAAUCCCCUAAAGCCGGAAAAGGGGAAACCACACACUAUAUUGAAAGAUGUUAUCUUUAAAAUCCAUGAAUUCAAAAUAAACUGCAGGGGGAAUGAAAAAAACCCAACAUUCGCUUUGGGUGUGUUUUAAUCUACCUGCUGUUUGCCCCCGUUGGCAGAAUUUCCCGGGUGGACAGAGAGAUCCAGUUCUGUUGUCAGUCGGGUUGGGCACUGUGGCGCCCAUCAAACACAGAAACCCAGCAGCACACGGCCCCGAAGGCUGAACCAACCCGUCAGACCCACAAAACUGACCCGCUGGACACACAAAGCACUCACCUGUCAACACACAUCGACAGCUUUGACUUUAGUCCAAACAGAACAACAAGCUACCUGCCAGAUGCAUCAGUCGCGUCUCUCACAUGGUUGCCAGCUGCUAAGAGGUUGAGGCCUUUUACCUGUGGAGGUGAGACCGUGGCGGGGGCUGUAGGUGCCUUUGGGGCAGGG